rnacentral:rRNA from 1 species
CAGUAGCCACGGGAAUACGUAGGUGGCAAGCGUUGUCCGGAAUUAUUGGGCGUAAAGGGCUCGCGGGCGGUUUCUUAAGUCUGAUGUGAAAGCCCCCGGCUCAACCGGGGAGGGUCAUUGGAAACUGGGAAACUUGAGUGCAGAAGAGGAGAGUGGAAUUCCACGUGUAGCGGUGAAAUGCGUAGAGAUGUGGAGGAACACCAGUGGCGAAGGCGACUCUCUGGUCUGUAACUGACGCUGAGGAGCGAAAGCGUGGGGAGCGAACAGGAUUAGAGACCCCCGUAGUCCCUGUCUCUUAUAC